CUCAGUGACAACCCAUAGUUCGACAUUAGUCUCAUAAGAAACAUAGCUGGAUCCUUCUUCACAGCUACAUCUAGCAAAUAAUAAAGGAAGCCUCCUGCCCUGGUAAACUUGGUGAGUAUCUCAUCACUGUCAGUUGUCAUCAGGCCAAGUAUCUGCAAACUACCAGAUGGGGAUAAGGAGGCUAUGACCCCACAUAGCAUGACUCUACCCAGUGACAACCAUUGCAGAGAUUCUCAUUGAUGAGUUGCUUGCAUUCUAAGGAGAUCCUUAAAAGCCAGCUGCAACCACAGUCCAAGCAAAUCCUAAUUCCUUCCCUGCAGCAAAGGCACACUCUCCUGUGAAGAAGGGUUUCCUCCUAACGUGGUACAGUUGCCCAAACUCCCCAGAUGGCGUUGCUGGAAAGGUUAUUAUUGGUUUAUGCACAGAAUCUGCAAAGAUACAUAUAUGGAUAUGGAUUCUGCAAAAACAAGAUGGAAGAAACUAUGCAGGACUCCCACAACCUUGGA
rnacentral:lncRNA from 1 species